rnacentral:lncRNA from 1 species
AUUAGUAUAGAUGUUGCUUUGAACACAAAAUAGAUGUAGGACUAGUACGUUUGAAGUCGUUGAACCAAAUAGGCCUAGGUGGAGUGAAUGUGUAGCCCAAGCUCAUUCAUCGCAUGAAGUAAGAUGUAUUGCAAGCUAGCUUUUCGUUAGCACCUUAGAAGUUUCACCCUACACAUUAGAAAUUAAAUUACUAUUAGUUUUAAUACAAUUCAAAAAAAUAUAAACAAAAAUUAUGAGAUUAAUGUACCAUGUCAAUCCGAUGGUUUGCAAAGUCUGAGAGUCAUGUCUUCUAUAUCGUCGUCAUCUUCAAGCCUUUUUAGUUUGAAAGAACGAUUAAAUUCAGGGAAGAGUAGCUCAAUUUAUAUCUCGAGCUGGUUGGUUGAUUUCGUGAGAACAUCUACCAAGGGCAUGGAAAGAGCACCUAGGCCCCUACUGGAUUUUGCUAAUUGAUGACAAACGAUUAGGGGACUAAUGUGCUUAUUGAGUGUAUAAAUAGGGGAUCAGUCUGAUGAAGAAGAUGAUGAUGAGAUGAUAAAGAAGAAGAAAUACAAUGAGGUUUCGUUGUGAUGUGGUAAGCAUGUUGGUAAUACAUGCCGACGCAAUGGAACAUGCAUGGGAGAAGGACAAGCAGAGUUUUGGCACCGAGGACUCAAUGUAGUGUUGAAGGAGUAAGUGCUUGGUACAACACCGACGUACCAAUCGAGGCUAUAAGAAGUCAUGGGUUAAUAAGGAUCAAUCUUUGUUGAAAAAGAAGCGUAUGGGGCAAGCCUUGGAAGAUAGAAGAUCAACUUGUUCUAUGUGGUGUACAAUCACUACUACAAAACAUCAAAUAGAUGUCGGCACUAUAGGUGCCGGAAGUGCUAAAACCGGAACCUAUAGGCGUUUUCCCCACCUCCACGGGUUGAAAUCGCAAAAAACGACACCUUUAAACAAUUAUAGGUGCCGGUUCUAAAUAAUAACCGACAAACAUUUAAUAUGUUCAAUGUGUCGAUUAAUUAAAAACUGACACCCCCUAAAUUUGAGCCGAGCCGAGCCGAACUGACCUCCACUGCUCCACAUCUUAUCCCCUCCUCUCCUCCCCACAUCUUAUCCAUUCCCCCUCUCUCUCUCUCUCUCUCUCUCUCUCGGCAAUGACCCGGAGGCAGUGGCCGCUACAGUGUGCGGCGGUGGGAGGGGAUGCGGCGGCGGCAGCGGCUCGGUGGCAGGAGGGGAGGCGGCAGUGGUCCGACAGACCGGGAGGUGGCGGUGGUGCCCUCCCCUCUGCCAGAUCUGGCGGGAGGGGAGGUGGCGUCGAUAGCCCGACGGCAAAAGGGGAUGCGGCGGCGGUGGGUCAGUGGCGGGAGGGGAGACAGCGGUGAUCCAAUGGCCCGACGGCGGCGCCCUCCCCUCCGCUAGAUCUAGCAGGAGGGGAGGUGGCGGCGGCGGCCCGGCGACGGCUCAGCGGCAGGAGGGGAGGCGGCAAUGGUCCGACGGCCCAGGAGGUGGCGAUGGUGACUUCCCUCGGUAGCGGCAGCGGUGGAGAAGGCAGCGGUGCCCUCCUCCUCUCCAUCCAACAACGGUGGUGGCAGUGGAGACAUCAGUGGCGGCAGUGGCAGUGGUGGUGAAGGCAGUGGAGCCCUCCUCCUCCAUCCGAUUCUUGAUGUGUUCGUUCUUGUUGUGCUCUUGAUGAAUGUGAUGUUGAUGUGUUGUUUUUUUGAGGAUUAUUGACUAGUUUGUGUUCAUGGAUUUGAGGAAAUUUUGGGAUUUGGGUAUUAGAUGGGAUCGGCUGGACGGCUCAAUGCAUCGACUCGAUGAAUUGAGCCGAUUUUUUUUUCUCAUGGACGCCUCAAAGGUGCCAGUUUUGGAACUAGCACCUUUGACCCUGGGUAAUCAGUGCCGCCUCCUGGGUGCCGGUUGGGAAAUAUAGGUACCUGGUUGGACAACAAUGAGUAGAGACUUUGUCCUUUUGUUAUUGGACAUCAUAUGGCGUAAAGCGUUCGGUACCAAAUUAUGCUUUCCAAUGCAGUAAAUCUCUUCUUCAUUUUCUACAUGAGUUAGCUAACUCAUGUAGAACCAUGCCUGUAGAUGUGCCAACAGUAUUGAAUGAUUGAGAACGUACGUCAGUAGAUAACUAAAAAUAGAAGGAAAUAUUAAGCUGCAAUCUAUUUGCCUCCACCAAAUGUCUAAAAGAAGUGGAUUAUACAAAAGAUGAGAGAAUACGGACAACAUCUUUAUAUAGCACAACCAUACUGAUGCUGAGUCAAGGCAUCUCUGGGCCUCUACCAACUGGUUUGUUAAACCAUUCAUGAUCAAAAUAAAUAUUUAAGAAAAACACUCACCUUGAUCUUGCUAAUUUGUUCCCGCAUGAAACGUUUACUUCUCAGUGCUAUUUCUUCAGUGAACCACAUUGUUGUUUCAGUGAAUGGCAUCAUGCAUUGAAACAGAGCUUACAUUUUGUUCAAUGUGGUUCAAGACAUAAAGGGAUUAACAGAUCUAUUAUUUAACCAAGUAAAAUGAUAAUUGUUGCAAUCAACAAACUAUGC